CAAAAGGCUUGGUCCUGACUUUAUUAUCAGCUUUAGCCAAACUUACACAUGCAAGUAUCCGCACCCCUGUGAGAAUGCCCUCAGUACCCUGCGUGGGGACAAGGAGCUGGUAUCAGGCACAAUCUAAGCCCAAGACACCUUGUUUAGCCACACCCUUAAGGGAACUCAGCAGUGAUAAAUAUUAAGCCAUAAGUGAAAGCUUGACUUAGUAAAAGCUAAGAGGGCCGGUAAAACUCGUGCCAGCCACCGCGGUUAUACGAGAGGCCCAAGUUGAUUAUUUUCGGCGUAAAGGGUGGUUAGGGAAGAGUGAGUACUAAAGCCAAAUUUUUCCAGGGCUGUUAUACGUUUCCGGAAACUAGAAGUUCAACCACGAAAGUGGCUUUAUUAAACCCUGAGUCCACGAAAGCUAGGGAACAAACUGGGAUUAGAUACCCCAUUAUGCCUAGCCGUAAACAUUGAUAGGUUAAUACAACCCCUAUCCGCCCGGGAACUACAAGCACAAGCUUGAAACCCAAAGGACUUGGCGGUGCUUUAGAUCCUCCUAGAGGAGCCUGUUCUAGAACCGAUAACCCCCGUUCAACCUCACCUUUCCUUGUUUUUCCCGCCUAUAUACCGCCGUCGUCAGCCCACCCCGUGAGGGCUUAAAAGUAGGCUUAAUUGGCACAGCCCAAUACGUCAGGCCGAGGUGUAGCGUAUGGAAAGGGAAGAAAUGGGCUACAUUCCCUAUUUUAGGGCACACGAAUGAUGUGCUGAAACGCAUGUCUUGAAGGAGGAUUUAGCAGUAAGCAGAAAGUAGAGCGGUCUGCUGAAAUUGGCUCUGAAGCGCGCACAUACCGACCGUCACUCUCCCCAAAAAAUAUCACCCUAAUUAUAUAAAACCUUAGAACAAUAAAGGGGAGGCAAGUCGUAACAUGGUAAGUGUACCGGAAGGUGUACUUGGAUCAAUAAU
rnacentral:ncRNA from 1 species